rnacentral:rRNA from 1 species
ACUCUGGUUGAUCCUGCCAGAUCCGACUGCUAUCCGGGUAAGACUUAGCCAUGCAAGUCGAAUGGAACAGCUUGUUCCAUGGCGAACUGCUCAGUAACAAGUAAUCAACUUACCCUUCAGUGGAGAAUAACCUCGGGAAACUGAGGCUAAUACUUCAUAGUUGGAAAUUCCUGGAAUGGUUUUCCAUCGAAAGAUAUUUCUAAAUGCGGAAAAUUCGCUGAAGGAUAGGAUCGCUUUCGAUUACGGUUGUUGGUGAGGUAAUGGCUCACCAAGCCUAUGAUCGAUAAGGGCCGUGAGAGCGGUAGCCCUGAGAUGGAUACUGAGACAAUGAUCCAGGCCUUACGAGGCGCAGCAGGCGCGAAACCUUUACAAUGCACGCAAGUGUGAUAAGGUUACCCGGAGUGCCAAAAUUAAAUUUUGGCUGUUAUAGGUGUGUAAAUAACCCUAUGAGAAAGGAGAGGGCAAGGCUGGUGCCAGCCGCCGCGGUAAAACCAGCUCUUCAAGUGGUCGGGAAUAUUAUUGGGCUUAAAGUGUCCGUAGCCGGUUUGGUAAGUUCCUGGUUAAAUCUGGCAGCUUAACUGUCAGUCAGCUAGGAAUACUACUUUACUAGAGGGUGGGAAAGGUUUGAGGUACUCCAGGGGUAGCGGUGAAAUGCGAUAAUCCUUGGGGGACCACCAGUGGCGAAGGCGUCAGACUGGAACACGCCUGACGGUGAGGGACGAAAGCCAGGGGAGCGAACGGGAUUAGAUACCCCGGUAGUCCUGGCCGUAAACGAUGCGUGCUAGGUGUUGGUAGGGCUUUGAGCUGUAUCAGUGCCGUAGGGAAACUGUUAAGCGCGCCGCCUGGGAAGUACGCUCGCAAGGGUGAAACUUAAAGGAAUUGGCGGGGAAGCACCACAAGGGGUGAAGCCUGCGGUUCAAUUGGACUCAACGCCGGGAAACUUACCGGGGGCGACAGCAGAAUGAAGGUCAGGCUGACGACCUUACCAGACAAGCUGAGCGGAGGUGCAUGGCCGUCGCCAGUUCGUGCCGUGAGGUGUCCUGUUAAGUCAGGCAACGAACGAGACCCACACGCUUAGUUGCCAUCAAAAGCCCUUACGGGUUUGUUGGGAACGCUAAGCGGACUGCCACCAUAUAGGUGGAGGAAGGAGUGGGCCACGGCAGGUCAGUAUGCCCCUAAUCCCCCGGGCCACACGCGGGCUGCAAUGGUAUGGACAAUGGGUCGCAACUCUGAAAAGAGAAGCCAAUCUCGAAACCAUAUCUCAGUUGGGAUUGUCGGCUGUAACUCGCCGACAUGAACGUGGAAUCCCUAGUAAUCGUGUGUCAUCAUCGCACGGUGAAUACGUCUCUGCUUCUUGCACACACCGCCCGUCGCUCCAUCCGAGUGUAGUAUAGUUGAAAAACGGUCCUAAGGGUCGUUUUAAAAUUGUGCUGCGUGAGGAGGGUGAAGUCGUAACAAGGUAGCCGUAGGGGAACCUGCGGCUGGAUCACCUCCA